rnacentral:misc_RNA from 1 species
AAUCUCCAUGCUUGAACUUGAAUCCUUCGAAUCUUCAUUCUUUAAUCUUCAUCUUGGGUGUAACUUGUUUCUUUCUUCAAAAAAUUUUUGCUUCAUCAAUCUUCUUAAUUUUAUAUCAAGAGCUUUACUUAAAUUUCAACUUUUCACCACCACCAUUGUUAUAUGUGCAACUUUCUACAUUUUGCAUCAGCUUUAUUUUCAACCAAACUCACCAAGAUCAUUCUCAUGCUUUGAUACUAAUUUAUUGUGCAUUGUGGAAGCGUACAAAGUGCAAAGAAAUAAAAUAAACACACAAA